GCCCAAUAAUUUGUCACCAAAGUCCAAAAUUUAGUUGAAUAAAUCGGUUUACGUCUGAUUAAUCGGUGAUUAAUCGCUUUUUCUAAGCGAUUAAUUGUGUUUCCGAUUAGUUACAACGAUUUGGCUAAAAUCGAAGCGUGUCUUCGACGCCGAGCUGCGGCCGCCUAGGCGGCUAGGCGGCCGCGUUUUCGAACAAGGA
rnacentral:lncRNA from 1 species